rnacentral:lncRNA from 1 species
AUUUUUAACUGAAUAUUUACGAAAGCUGAAAGCGUGCGAGGGGGGUGGGGUGGAAAUAGCGGCUGCUUCUUUUCCAAGGAUUUAUUUAAUGGGGAUGUGUUCAAGGCAAGACCGAAUUCAGAAGGAUAUCGACGUCGUGAUCCAGAAGUCCAGAGCUGAGGACUGCCUGUUUGCAGGGCCCGCCUGGCAGGACGACUGAGCAAGUUCUUGGAAAACCAGAGAUAUUAGAGCGGUGAAUCGCGCUGGUCACGUUGGACACCUGCGCGUUAGGAGAUUCUGGAGCCAGAGGGAGAGACCCCAGAAACGCCCCGGUCGGCGACCCAGCCCGAGACGCCUGGGGUCCCAAGGGAAGCUGAACGCCCGGUGGGCUCCCGGGAUGGUUCUUCCGGUUCUUUGUGCCGCCUUCACCCAGUGAAGGAGCCUGUAUCCACCCUGCCCAGUCGCUGUUGGGCUGCUGCGGAGCUUCCGCUGCCAUCUUCGGAUCCUGUGUUCCGCCCGGGGCUCCACCAGGGCAGGGAUGGUGCAGAAUGGGGAAAUGGAGAGAGAACCUGAAAGAGCCCCAAACUCGAGGACCUAUUGCUCCCCAAGAAUAACAUCUUCCAGAACUAGACAGAAAACUAGGCGUCUGGGAACCCUGAAAUCCUUGGAGGAGUAGAUCAUCAUGACCCUCUGUGUUCCUUUUGGCAAAUGACUUGCUUCCAUUGUUUGUUUGUUCAAUUGUCUGUUUGUUAAAUAAAUAAAACCCUUUUUAUGUAUCUUUAAAAUUA